rnacentral:rRNA from 1 species
UACGUAGGGCGCGAGCGUUGUCCGGAAUUAUUGGGCGUAAAGAGCUCGUAGGCGGCUGGUUGCGUCUGCUGUGAAAACCCGGGGCUCAACCCCGGGCCUGCAGCCGAUACGGGCAGACUAGAGUUCGGCAGGGGAGACUGGAAUUCCUGGUGUAGCGGUGAAAUGCGUAGAUAUCAGGAGGAACACCGGUGGCGAAGGCGGGUCUCUGGGCCGAUACUGACGCUGAGGAGCGAAAGCGUGGGGAGCGAACAGG